rnacentral:lncRNA from 1 species
CCAAAGCUUCAUUUACUUUUAAAUAGAAAAUCCUUUCAUUUUAAAUAGGUAUGAAGAUCAUGAAGAACACUUUGAAAAUUUAAAAAGAAGAUGCUGAUAAUCUUUCACUUAAUUUCUGCUUUUAGUUUCUGAAUAAAAGUUUUGCAGAAUGUAUACAGUGUGAAAUGAAGUAUUCCAUGCUUUAUUUAUUUAUUUAUCUUUUUAGGGCCAUAGGUGUGACAUAUGGAAGUUCCUAGGCAAGGGGUCAAAUAAGAGCUGCAAUUACCGGCCUACACUACAGCCACAGCAACACGGAUCUGAGCCUCAUCUGCUACCUACACUACAGCUCACUGCAAUGCCAGAUCCUUAACCCACUGAAUGAGGACAGAGAUUGAACCUGCAUCCUCAUGGAUACUAGUCAGGUCUAUUUCUGCUGAGCCACAGUGGGAACUUCAAGUACUCCAUAUUUUAAAACAAAAUACUUUCUGAUUUAUUUAUAAUAUUAUUGAUUUUAGAGGAGCUCAUAAAAUUAUAUACUUGUGUACUCAAGAGAAUCAACUGAAUAUUUACUGAAUGAAAUGGUUGAGUAAAAUGGCUUGUUACAAAAUCAGUAUCUUUUUUAUGCAAAGAAUGGCCGGUUUGAAAUUCUAAUGAUAAAGAGUCCUUUUUAGUAGCAGCAAAAAUUAUAAAAGCCUAAUAACAGCUUUAAAUGGAGAUAUUAAAAAACCUAUGUGAUGAAAAACUCUAAAAUGUUAAAAUGAGAUUUAAUAAUACUUGGUAAUUUAAAUGGCAUAGCAUGUCUUAGGAGUUCCUUUUGUGGCUCAGUGGAUUAAGAACCUAAAACAGCAUAGCGGCUCUGAGAAUGCGGGUUCGAUCCCUGGCCUCAAUCAUGGGUUAAGGAUCUGGGGUUGCUGCAGGUGUGGUGUAGGUUGCAGAUGUGGGUCAAAUCCCAUGUUACUGUGGCCUAGGCUGGCAGCUGUAGCUCCAAUUCGACCCCUAGCCUGGGAGCUUCCAUAUGCCACAAGGCCUACCAUGUUUGUAAAUCCAAAUGAAAUUUGUUUUGAAAACAACAACAAAUAUUUAAAAAAUUAAUUUGGAAAGAUAAAUUCUUAAAAUGGCCUAUACUAAUUGUUGGUAGUAAAAUGAGUAAUAUAUGUGAACUUCUUCACAAAGAUUUAAAAUUGUGUAAAACUUAAUGAAAAAUAAACCACGGAGGUAUUUGAAUAUAAAUAUAUUGAUAAACCAAUGAAAAAGAACAUCUAGGAACAAACUCAAACAUUUUGGGAAAAUUAAGUACAUGCUAGACAUAUUAUCUCAAAUAGAUGGAAUAAAAAUAAAUUAUUCAGUUAAUGGUGAUUGUCUAUUAAAUUGUUAUUAAUUGUCUAUUUAAAAAUGUUAGAUUAUGUACCUCAAGUCCUUAGACAAAAGUAUAGUCCAGAUAAUCAUAAGUAUUUAACAGUAAAAACAGAAAAAAAUAUAAGUAUUAAAAGAAGCUGUAGGUGAAUAUUUUAAAAAUCUAGAAGUAAGGGGAAGAUCUCUCUGAGUAGGUUACCAAAGGUAAAAUUAAUAAAAAUAUAGUUAGAUUUAACUUACAUGAAUUUGUAAUCAUUGCGUGCUAAAAAUUAGCAGAUGAGGAUAAAAGAUGAAUAAUAAGCUAAGAAAAUAUUACAACAUAUGUAGUAAAUGAGAUAUGCUAUUAAUAUGUAAGGAGCUAUUACAAAUCAAUCAUAAAAAGGUAACUGUGCUAGCCAAGGUGAUGAAUGACAUGAACAGAGAAACCAUAAAGAAAGAAAUGUAAAGGCAAAACAUAUAUAAAAAUUAACCACAUAAGUUGACAAUAAAGGACAUACUGUAUUAGUUAGCUUUUUCUGCGUAACGCACAUUCCUAAAAUUCAAAGACUGAAACAAUAAUGAUUUGUUGUCAUAACUUACACUUCUUUUGCUUGGUUAGGGAGCCUCUCUCUAGGCUGGACUUGCCAUGUGUUCUGCUCCAUGUGUCUUUCAUACUCUGCUUGAGUUCCAUGUAUUUCUUAUCCUUUCCCUGGGACUAGUGUCCUAGUCCAAACAUGUCUUUGUGGCAGUGGCAAAAAACACAAGCACGCAAGCCUAGUUGUGCAGAUGUUCAUCAAGUCUCUGCUUGCAUCAUAUCUGCCAGUAUACUAUUGACCAAAGCAAAUGACAUAACAAAAACAGAAUCAAGGGGCAAGGAAAUAUAUUUUGUCCUUUAAUAGGAGAGACAAGAAAGUCACCUGGUACAGGACAUGAAUAAAGGUAGAGGGGAAGAUUUGAGGUCUUUAAUCCAAUCUACCAGAUGUCAUCUUUUUCACAUGGUUAGCAGAGUUUAUAAUAUUCAGUGCUGUCAAGAGUGUUGGAAAAAUGAGUAAGUACUCCCAUGCACUGCUCCUGGUGGAGUGUAAAUGGGUAAUAAGCUAUUUGGAGGGAUGAUUUGUGAGUAUGUUUCAAAAUUCUUUUUAAAGGUAUGUAUUUUUGACUCAACUGUUCCAUUUUUCAGAAUUUACUGCAGGACUAUAAUUAGUCAAAUGUGCAAAGUGGUGAAGUAUAAACCAAGCUUAUGUAGACCCAGUUAUACAUGUAAGGCUAUACAUUUUCUCUUCUGUAAUUGGCAUCAGCUUUGAUUGAUUGCUGCUUGGGCAUGUUAUAUAUUUUGAAUAUAUAUAUUUGAGUGCAAGGAUAUUAAGCACUGAAUUUUUUAUCAUAGUAAAUACUUGGAAAUAUUAUAAGUUCUAUUAAUAUAAAAUUGGUAAAAAUAUAUGUUGGUGUGUCCACACAAUAUAUUACUUAUAUUGAGAUAAGGUACUUAUAUUUAUUGUCAUAAAAUAAAUGUGUAUUGUAUUGAUUAAGUGAAAAAUAGGGGCCUGUUUCAAUAAUACACACAGUUGUAUAUGCUAUUAAAUAUAGGAAAAGUCAUUUAUCAAGAUAUUUCUAAAUAAAGGAUUGUGGGUAAUUUUAUUUUCUUACUAUUUUUUAUACAUUUUCUUUGUAGCUUCAUGAAUUUAACAGGCAUUUUUUUUAAUAACCACAAAAGACUGAAAACCUAUUUCUACUUUUGAAAAGUGAUAUUGAGGAUGUCAUUAUAAUUAGCUUGGGGGAAAAAUAUAUGGGUAAUGACAGUCUAUGUUAUGGAGUCAAAACAUUCCCUGGAAAAUAACUACAGUUCUUAAAGAAAAGACUUGUACAGUCGAAUCACAAAUGAUAGCCUGUUCUCUUUGGAGCAGAGGAACAUGACUCUUCAUAAAAUUAAUAGGAGAAAGUCAUAUGUAUAAAAAAUAGAGUAUUAGUAAGGAAGGCAUGGAUACUUUGUACUGUUAUAUAUACAUACACACUCAGCCAUGGUUGCCAUAAAAAUAGUGCUUGCUUGAUUCUAUAAAAGGAGAAAAUAUUUCAAAGUUUAUGGUAAAGUCAUUUUGGAGGUACAGAAGGCUGGUUUGGAAAGGAUUCCACAUUUGUCAUGCUUUCUUUCAUGCUUAAUAAAAAAGUGAGUCUGAUCUGAUGAAUGGAACAUUGUUAGAAGUCAGAAAAUAUUCCUGUUUCUCAUUAUGCUUUUCAUUUGUCACAUGACUUUGAUGAAGGAUCCUCCCCUUAGCAUGAGAAUCAUUAACCAACCAAAAGUAUGUAGAACAUUUUGUUUUUAAUGUAGACAUUUAAUAAAAUAAUAAAUACUAGUUAAAAACACAAACACAACUCUCUAAAAAUCAUUUUGUUUUCUUAUGCACUUUGAGGAUCUACUCAAUCUUUUCUACUGUUGAAAACAAUGUAAGGAAAUUAAUUUAGAACUUAGCAAGCCAUUAUACAUAAUAUGUUACAUAUAAUAUAUGCACACAUACACAUAUAUAUUUUUUUCAAAAGCAACAGGAGCUAAUUUUGUUUUAUUUUUUAAGGUAAUGAGAGACUGUUGGGGCAGGGGCAGGCUUGCAGGUGAGGAUUUUUACUAAAUGUAUCAUAAUUUCAGUGACAGAUUUUGCAAGUUUGAGACCAGUGUUCCAUAGGUUCUAUAUUUCAAAUUUCUAUAUGAGAUUGGGCUUGAGAAAUGAGUCUAUUGCAAAAUAAUUUUGACAACUUUUAACUUGUUUCAUCCCCACAGUGUAUUGAUGAAGAGACAAAGGUUCAGAGGAGGGUCCCACUCUAGCUCGGUAAUUAUUAAUAACUAAUAGGAGUAAUUCCACAAAAUACUUUUGUAGCACAUUUGAUCAUCACAGCUGUCCUGUCACCCAGGCUGGAUAGAUGUUACCUCCAUUUGCCAGAUAAAGAAAUUGAUGCUUGGAGGUAUUCAACAACCUACCCAAGUGGUGGUAUCCCUAUCUCCCCUCCCAGUCCUGCUUCUCCUCCCAUUCCUUCUCCAGAAACUUUCUACCUGACCAGGCUGCUCUUCUCCAUUAGGGUUCUCUAUGUUUGCAUGUGCUUGAAACCAGGGAAGUUGUAGCAUAUAAUUCAUAGCAUUUUAUUUACUUUUAUAUGUAAUGAUUUUUAUUUUUUUUCAAUUAUAGCUGAUUUACCGUGUUCUGUCAAUUUUCUACUGUACAGCAAGGUGACCCAGUCUCACAUACACAUAUACAUUCCUUUUUCUCACAUUAUCAUGCUCCAUCAUAAGUGACUAGAUAUAGUUCCCAGUGCUAUACAGCAGGAUCUCAUUGCUUAUCCAGUCCAAAAGCAAUAGUUUGCAUCUAUUGACCCCAAAUUCCAGUCCAUCCCACUCCUUCCCCCUCACCUUUGGCAACCACAAGUCUGUUCUCCAUGUCCAAAUUCAUAUAAGUACUCAGAAUAGUAUGAAACUUUUACUUAGUAAUUUUACAAGAUUGGUAUGGGUAGUGUGUCUGUAAAAUUGUUUUAUGUAUUUUUCUUCUAAGAUAUAAGUAUUAGUAUAUGGUAUACUUGUAAUUUUAAAAGUGAUACUAAAGACCACAGUUUUGGAGUUCCGUCGUGGAGCAGUGGUUAAUGAAUCCGACUAAGAACCAUGAGGUUGCGGGUUCCAUCCCUGGCCUUGCUCAGUGGGUUAAGGAUCCGGCAUUGCCGUGAGCUGUGGUGUAGGUCGCAGACAUGGCUCAGAUCCCGCGUUGCUGUGGCUCUGGUGUAGGCCAGUGACUACAGCUCCAAUUCUAUCACUAGCCUGGGAAUCUCCAUAUGCCACGGGAGUGGCCCAAGAAAUGGCAAAAAGACAAAAAAAAAAAAAAAAAAAAAAAGACCACAGUUUUAACAAUGGUAUACUUGUAAUUUUAAAAGUUAUACUAAAGACCACAGCUUUAACAUUGUCGCUCUGUAGGCAUAAAGUUUCUUUAUUUUUACAACAAAUCUUAAUAAUAUUUUCAGUUUUGAAUUUGUCUUUGCACAUUGUAUUGUAUUCCUUUCAAAUGAACUGAAUUUCUGUAGAUUCUGUAGGCUCAUUAAAAACAUUUGCUUAUUAAUUUCCAGAUACUAUGGAGUCAGUCCUAAGAGAGAAAAUCUCCUUGAGGUAGUUCCAAAUACAAUCAAAUAAUAUAAAAGGUAGCACAUUCCAGAGGCAUGUUUUCAUGUGAAUAAAAUUAUCAUGAUGUAACAAUUCAAAAACAAAUUUGCUUAUUAAAUUACAUUCUUAGGGGUAGAGUUGAGGGAGGGGAGAAUGUAUGUCUGAGGCUUCCCUGUGCUGUUUGUUCUCCUUGUAGAUUGAGACACACUUGAAUACCUACAAUAAAUCCUCAAAGAUCCAUUAGUUGAGGAGUCAGGGAGUCAAUGGAAAAGCAUACAUUUUAAGAAGAGUCCUGGUUUGAAAUUUGUUUUGUGGGGAUCUUAAUCAUCUAAGAAAUAUAAAAUAAAAUAAAUGAUAAUGGCUAUUAUAUUCCACUACAUAUACUAGAUUUUAUUUAACCAUUUCUAUGUCAUUAGCUAUUUGAGACACUUGAGGUGUUUCUAUAUCUUUGUUAUCAUUUAAAAUAAUACUGAAAUGAGUAUCUUAAUGCACAUAUCUUCACACAUAUCUCUAAUAAUUUCCAUAGGAGAGACUUCUACAAAUUACAUUAUUAUACUAAUUUGCACUUUCACCAAUUAUUUGUUGAAAUACAGUUGAUGUACAAUAUUAUGUUAUUUUCAGGUGUACUACAUAGUGACUUGACAUUUGCAUAAUUAUGAAAUGAUCACAGGUCUAAUAAUCAUCUGUCCCCCCAAAAGUUAUUACAGUCUUGUUGACCAUAUUCCUUAUACUGGAUAUUACAUCCCCAUGGCUUAUUUAUUUUAUAAUUGGAGGCAUGUACCUCUUAAUCUUCUUUGUCUAUUUCACCCCUCAGUCUCUUCCCCUCUAUUAAAAAUAGAACUACCAUAUGAUCCAACAAUCUGACUUAUGAGUGUACAUAUAUCCAAAGGAAAUGAAAUCACUAUCUCAAAGAAAUAUUUGUACUCUCAUGUUCAUUGCAAUAUUAUUCAUAAUAGGCAAGACAUGGAAACAACUUAAAU